AUGGAGGGAGACAGCAGCGAGAUCUCGGCGCCGCCGCCGGCGAACGAGCACGGCGUCCCCGACGAGCUACUCGAACUAGUAUUCCUGAGCCUCCCCUCCUCACUCCACCUCGUCCGUGCCGCAUGUACGUGCAAGCGCUGGCGCCGCAUCAUCGCUGAGGGCGCCUUCGGCCUUCCUCGGCCGCUUCCGAUCUCUCCGCGCCUCCCCUACACCGUCGACAUGCUCCCUCGGCACUUCUCGCUCGACUUUCUCCCGGACUGCGACGGCGGCUCCUGGGACAUCGCCGACAGUCGAGGCGGCCUCAUCCUCCUAAGUCAGUGCACGCACGCCGAGGACGAGGAGGAGCCGUAUCUCUUCCACGACCUCCUCGUCUGCGAGCCCUUGACGCGGCGCAGCAGGGUGGUCCCAUGCCCGGACCGGCUCGAGGGCUGCCUCUGCUGCGGCGCCUUCCUGCUCGACGGCGACGGCGACGAGACUGGUGAGCGCAUCAGCCUGUCAAAUUUCAGAAUAAUGGUGGCACUCCGGUUGGAUGGCAUUGCCAGGGCGUGUUCAUUCUCCUCCGGCAGCGAGGGUUUCUGGACCAUGGCGCGGAUCACGGCAGACAGCCACGUGAGGCCCGAGAGCAGCUUAUACUUCGCUCGAAAUUUCGCCCGCUAUGUCUACUGGAGGACCGUAGAAGCCGAAAUCAUUGUCCUUGACAAAGACACGAAGGAAUUCUCUCGUUCCUUGUUCCCGGAAGACAUGUGGUACUUCAGGCUCGAGGUUGUAGGCUGCGCCGGUGGCAAGGUGCGCAUUGCCCACCGGGGCGUCAGCCAGCUCAAGGUCUUCAUACAAGCAGAGGGCAGGGAUGAAUGGGUGCUGGAGAAAAGGGUCCAACUGCAGCAGUUGAUCCGUGAGGUUGAAGGUGACGAUGAGUUGAGCGUCGACAUGCUGAAGAAGAUGGCCUCGGUGGCGGAGGGGUCUGUUGUGUUGUGUACAGACAAAGGCGUGGGGCUCAUCUCCAUCGACCUCGACACCAUGGAGUGUAAGCGCUUUCACGACGAGAACAAGUACUACGGGCCAGAGUACAUGUACCAGCUGCCAUGGCCUCCCACGAUCCAAGCUUGCUUACCAUGA
rnacentral:rRNA from 1 species